rnacentral:rRNA from 1 species
UACGAAGGGUGCAAGCGUUACUCGGAAUUACUGGGCGUAAAGCGCGCGUAGGCGGUUUGUUAAGUCUGAUGUGAAAUCCCUGGGCUCAACCUGGGAAUUGCAUUCGAUACUGGCGAGCUAGAGUGCGGUAGAGGAUGGCGGAAUUCCCGGUGUAGCGGUGAAAUGCGUAGAGAUCGGGAGGAACAUCUGUGGCGAAGGCGGCCAUCUGGACCAGCACUGACGCUGAGGCGCGAAAGCGUGGGGAGCAAACAGG